GAAGGUGACUCUAGCGCAGGGGUCCCACCCGUUCCCAUCCCGAACACGGACGUUAAGCCCUGCAGCGCCGAUGGUACUCCCGCAAGGGGUAGAGUAGGUCGUCGCCUUCU
rnacentral:rRNA from 2 species